UACAGAGGUCUCAAGCGUUGUUCGGAUUCAUUGGGCGUAAAGGGUGCGUAGGUGGCGAUGUAAGUCGGAUGUGAAAUCUCCAAGCUUAACUUGGAAACUGCAUUCGAUACUGCUUUGCUCGAGGACUGUAGAGGGCAUUGGAAUUCACGGUGUAGCAGUGAAAUGCGUAGAUAUCGUGAGGAAGACCAGUGGCGAAGGCGAAUGCCUGGGCAGUUCCUGACACUGAGGCACGAAGGCCAGGGGAGCAAACGGG
rnacentral:rRNA from 1 species